rnacentral:lncRNA from 1 species
UUUGAGAUCAUUACCUCCAAGAUCAAGAUACUGCAACUUUGAAAGAUUCCCCAGGUUAUGAGGAAUUGCUCCCUGGAAUCGUGCUUGAGAGAGGUUAAGAUAUGAUAAACUCUCCAGCAAACCGAAAAACUUCGGGAUCUGUAUGCCGCUAAAAUUGUUAUUGCUCAAGUCCAGGGAACUGAGAUGCUUCAACUCCAGCAGUGAAGGAUUUAUUUUGCCUCCUAGCAGGGAAUUGUUCUUUGAUCGAUGGUAAGCUUCCCAUUCAGCAACUGGUGCAUCAAAAUGGGCCACUGAAAGAGGAGCAGCCAAGUGCAGUUGGUUGAUAUGGCCUGUUGAGUUAUGGCACACGACACCGAGCCAUUUACAGCAACCCCCACCUUCAACCCAAGAAGACAACCUGUUUGAAGGGUCAACGAGAUCAUUCUUGAACUUCAAAAGGGCUUUUCUCUCACUUUCAAAGCAAAGCACAUUGGAAUUGGCAUCACAAAAGCUAAAACAGUUAGCUAGAAUGACAAGAAGAAAUGGGAAUAAGGUAAUUGUAACACUUUUCAUGGUUGCGAUGGUACCAACCAUUGGUUGCAACUCCAAAUAUAUAGAGUAAGCUUAGUAAAACAAAAGUAUUGUGCACAUACAUCAAGCAGAAAGAAGUUUCUUCCAAAUUUCCACAAAAUGUAUUUAAUUAAUAAUAGUCUAUCAGAAAUUUCCAGUCAAAUAUAAACACCACUUUAUCCAAAAUGAAAUUACAUAUCCAUAGUGCUGGACUGAGAUAGAGUAAGCUAAAACAAAAACAUUGUCCACAUCAUAGGCAAGGAACUUUUUUUCAGUACCCCAAAAUUCCAACAUGAAUUUUCCAAAAAGAAAAAACUAUAAAUUUGUCAAUUUUAAUAAAUUUGGACAGAAAAAACAAAAUAGAAUUAUUAAUUGUUCAUGCGAGAUGCAAUGUUGAUAUGAUGUCACAUUAUUAAUUUAUUCCUAAUUAUAAAUAAUUUAAUAGAUUUAAUCCUCUACUUUUACAAAUUCUAUUAAUUUGAUACGUAAACACAUAUAAUUAAAUACAAAUAUAAUUAAAUAAUUAUUAUAUAUUAUGAAAAAGUAUAAAAUGUAAUAUUAUUUACAUUAUUUUAUAUCAACACAUACUCUGUAUCUAAUACUUACACCUGAGUCCAAUAACAUGAUCCCAAACAAUAUUAUUAGAUUAGUGACUUGUGCUUUCAGGAAUCAAAGAACGAAAAAGCAAAAACAACAUAUAGUGACUGAAAAACACAAAUAACCACACAAUGAAUGAUGAAAGACUCUACUAAAUUUAACUUGCAAAAAUAAGAACUUCAAUUAAAUUCUUUGCUUUUAAGAGAUUAGUGUGUUGUUAAGCUAGUUAUGAAGCUUGCUAAAGAAUGUGAUUUUGAGGAGAUUAAGGUUAACAGUUCAGUAAUUCUUGAUGCUGAGAAAGCUAAAGUCACCAUGUUGACAACAAAAAAGUUUACAGAAGCUUCAAUCAUCCUUAGUUUCGUGCUUAUAAAUUUCGUAUUUAAUAAGGUGCCUUAAAAAUUUUGCACUGAUUAUAUAUAAUAAUAUUAUAAUUUUCCUUAAAAUAGAUUCAAAUAAUAUUAUAUAUUUUACAUUUUUAUAAUUAUAUAAAAAUUAUUUAAUUAUAUUUAUAUUUAUUUAUAUGUAUUUAAGGAUCAAAUUGAUAAAAGUUAUAAAUAUAAAAAACUAAAUGUGUCAUUAUCCAAUUAAAAAAAGACUAUAUCUUCACUUUGGUGACCAAACAUAAAUUUUUCUUCACUACCCCAAAUUUCCAGCUUAAAUUUUCCGCAGAAAAGCUAUAGAUUUGUCAAACUUGAUAGAGAAAUUGUUCACGCGAAUAAUUCAUAUGUAUUUCAUAAUAUUUUGAAAUUAUAUUAUUUUAUAUCGAAAUGAUAUCAUAAUAUUAUUGUAUUUUAUAUUUCAGGUAUUUAGCGAAAUAAAAUAAAAUUAUAAUCAAUUGAAUGUUUCUUUUUGGGAAGUUCUAAUUAAUUGCUUUAAAAUUUUGAUAUGUCGAUAUUUAAUAUAUAUAAUAUGAGAAAUAAAUAAUUAUGAUUACGUUACAUUUUUUAUUUGAAACACAUAUUUACAAUUUGAGAAAUUUACUCUUUUCUUCCUUGUCACCUGUAAACAAGAGAAGAAAAUAAGGAAAAACUAGGAGUAACGAAGGCUAGCUUACCUGUAAAGAUCGAGAGCUAGAAUAAGGACAAGAAGACAGACCGAUUAAGAGGAUAAGUGUUUAGAGUAACUCAGUCCCCUUGUCUAUUGGUAUGAUAUGACUAAAUAAGUAUUCAAUUUUGUUAAAUGUGUAAUGGAUAACCAUAGGUGCAUUUAAGGGAUUCUAUUAAUAUGAGGUAGUCAAGCUUAAAUAGACUCCUUAAUAUCUUGAAAAUAUGUUCAAAUUAGGAUAGUGUCCUCUUUUAAGCUCGGGUGAUCCUACUUAAGAAGUCAAUAUAGAAUUAACCAUGCUAUGCUGACACUUCGUUUGUUUUAGUUGAAUAUUGAUGAGUCUUUGUCCUAUUUGGUUGCUUAGAAGACUUAAAAUGGCAUACUUGUGUAAAGAUAACGAUGAAUCAGUCAUCAUCAACCUGUUUACUAUAUUACUUAAUUUGUCAAUAAAAUUGAAUUGUAGUUGGCUUAUGAUUGGAUGGGUUUUGUCUUUCUUUGGGACAUAAAUUUCAGUCACUGUGCAAUAUGGGAUAAGAUACCUGUUGAUUAUAUUACCUAAUUUGUAUGAAAUUGAACUGUUGUUGGCUUAUGAUUGGAUGGGUUUUUCUCAUUGGGAGGUAAGUUUCAGUCAUUGUUAUAACAGGAUUUUGCUUCUUAGACCUGGCACACACUUACAUGUUCUUUUUGCAUUUCAUGAAAAAGUUAAAUUAUCUAAUUAAAUUGAUAAAAUGUGUAAAUAUAGAAAAUUAAAUGUGUCAUUAUCCAAUUAAAAAAAGACUAUAUCUUCACUUUAUUGACCAAACAUAAAUUUUUCUUCACUACCCCAAAUUUCCAGCUUAAAUUUUCCACAGAAAAGCUAUAAAUUUGUCAAACUUAAUAGAGAAAUUGUUCAGGCGAAUAAUUUAUAUGUAUUUCAUGAUAUUCUGAAAUUAUUUUAUUUUAUAUCGAAAUAGUAUCAUAAUAUUAUUUUAUCUUAUAUUUUACGUAUUCAACGAAAUAAAAUAAAAUUAUAGUCAAUUGAAUGGGAAAGUUCUAAUUAAUUGCUUUAAAAUUUAAACAUGUCGAUAUUUAAUAUAUAUUAUAAUAAUAUGAGAUUACAAUAAAGAGAAAUAAAUAAUUAUUUUCACGUUACAGUUUUUUUGACACAUGACAUUUGUCAUUUGAAACACAUAUUUACAAUUUGAGAAAUUUACUCUUUUCUUCUUUGCCUUUUAAUUUUUUAAGUCAUUCCAUACUUUUUUUUAUUUUUUUCUUAAUAAUUUUUUUGUUAAAUAUAUAAUUUAUUUUAAAUAAAUUAUUUAUUUAUUUUAAUACCUUACUUAAUUGAAUUAAAUUUUAAUGUUAUCAUAUUAAAAUUAAUGAAUAUUAAUUUGUUAAGUUUAAAAUAUAGUUUUAAAAAAAGAAACAUAUUAAGAAUAUUUAUUAAAUUAAAUUUUUAUUUUUCAAAUAUAAUAAGAGUUAAUUAUAUUAAUUGAUUAAAUUAGAAAAAAAGAUAAAUAUAAAAUUACAAAAAAUUUGAAUAUUAACAAUUUUGACAUUAAAAAUUAAUUUUUAACAAUAUAUAUAAUAAAUAAUAGGUAAGAAACUAUUAAUAAUAUUAUUUAAAUUAUAAUAUAUUAAUAUUAAUAUUCAUGAUGAAUUUUUUGUAUUAUUUUAAUAUUAAAUAUUUUUAAAACCUAACUAAUUGCAAUAUAAUUAAUUCUAAAAUAAGUAGAUAUUUGCCUUUGUUGAUACAGAUCGAGAGCUAGAAUAAGGACAAGAAGACAAACCGAUUAAGAGGAUAAGUGUUUAGAGUAACUCUAGAGUGUCCCAGUCCAUAGUUUUUCAAGGUACUUAUAGGAAACGUCCCCUUGUCUACUGGUAUGAUAUGACUAAAUAAGCGUUCAAUUUCGUUAAAUGUGUAAUGAAUAACCAUAGACACAUUUAUAGGAUUCUAUUAAUAUGAAGUAGUCAAGCCUAAAUAGACUCCUUAUUAUCUUGAAAAUAUGUUCAAAGAUCCUACUCAAAAAGUCAAUAUAGAAUUAACCAUGCUAUGCUGACACUUUAUUUGUUUUAGUUGAAUAUAGAUGAGUCUUUGUCCUAUUUGGUUGCUUAGAAGACUUAAAAUGGUAUACUUGUGUAAACAUAAUGAUGAAUCAGUCAUCAUCAACCUGUUUAUUAUAUUACUUAAUUUGUCAAUAAAAUUGAAUUGUAGUUGGCUUAUGAUUGGAUGGGUUUUCUCUUUCUUUGGGACAUAAAUUUCAGUCACUGUGCAAUAUGGGAUAAGAUACCUGUUGAUUAUAUUACCUAAUUUGUAUGAAAUUGAAUUGUUGUUGGCUUAUGAUUGGAUGGCUUUUUCUCUUUGGGAGGUAAUUUUCAGUCAUCGUUAUAACAGGAUCUUGCUUCUUACACCUGGCACACACUUACAUGUUCUUUUUGCAUCAUGAAAAAGGUUAAAUUUUAGUUUUGAUCCUUUUAAUAUGCUUAAAUUUAUAACAUAUAUGUAAAAGAAGUGGAAAGGACCUUCCUUGACAUCACUUACAUGUUCUCUUUUUCUUUUCUUUUCAUAAAAAAGGUUCAAAUUCAGUUUUGGUCCUUUUAAUAUGUUUAAACUUAAAAUUUAGAUCCAAAGGACCUUCCUUCUAACACGUGGCACACACUUACAUGUUCUCUUUCUUUUUUAUUGCAUUUCAUAAAAAGGCUAAGUUUCAGUUUGGUCCUUUUAAUAUGUUUAAAUUUAAAAUUUAAUUCAUAUAUUUUAAUUUUUAAUAUAAUUUGAUCAUUAUAUUUUUAAUAUUAUUAAUUUAUACUUUUUUUUGCAUUUUUACAUUAUAAUAUAAUGGUCAAAAUUCAAUUUGGACAUCUAUAUUAUGCUGAAACUUAAUAUUUAAUAUUCUAUAUACUUUAAUUUUUAUUUAAUUUGAUUCUCCUACUUCUAUAAUGUCGUUAUUUAGUCUAAAUAGUUAAUUUUGUUAACAAUUUCAAUCAAAAUGGUAUCGUCAUUUUUUCUUAAGAACACUACAACAAAAAUAUUAAUUUAUCAUAAUGAGUUUGAAUGGGUACUUUAAAAAAAAUAUAUUGAUUGCUAUUUUCAAUAUUAUUUUCUUGUUACAAGAGUAAUAAGAGAACUUUCUUUCUUCUUCUUUUUUCGUUUCUAAAUGUCACACUAGUAAAUUUAGUAGAUGAAUUUUAACACAAUGCUGAUUAUCGCACUAAAUUUUUAAAUUCAAAAAAUAAAAAGACAAAAUCCUUAAAAAGGGGACUGAAUUCCAAAUGUGCGAUAUGUAUAAAGACUUAAAACUUAGUUUAAUCUUUAAAUUUUUACUUCAUAAUUUAAUAAAACAAUUCAUCAAUCAGACGCAAAGCGUUAAAACCAUCUAGUAGGAAAAAGAGAAGAACCAUGUUGGGUUUGAACAAUGGUGUUGUUGAGAUGGACCAUAUAAAAACAAAGAUCGCGGUUGUCAAUUCAUCAAUAGGGCAAGAUUUAUUUUUAGAUUUAUAAUGUCAACUUUGUCAAUUUCGUUCUUGCCUUAUUGCCCUCUUUAACACAAUAGCAUCUUCACUAUUGAAAUACAAUAAAGCAAAACCAUACAAUACAUCAUCAGAGCAUACUUCCAAUAAAUUAUACAAGCUCGAAAUGUCAUUUAUUCUUGCAAAAAAGGGAAAGCAUGAAUAAGUAUCGAGUACUAUGAUGACAUAAAGCCAAUUCACUUUACCUCCUUCAUGGCUACCUCCAAUAAUUGUAACAUCAACCAUAAUAUCCUUUGUGGUGCAUCUUUUAGUGAGAGGAGGUCCAUGUAAGAAAAGUUUUUAAAGCUUUGAAGUUGAGUGCUUGUCGAGAUUUGUCCUGUUGUAGAUCAAGUUGAAGAGAUUUUAGAAAUUUAAAUUAGAGAAAUUUGGACGGAUUUCAUCGUUGAUUAAUCGACAGAUCAAGAGAUUCCAUUAACUUCAUGUUGCCAAUGUUGUUUGGUAUAUUUCUUAUUAGGAGAUUCUUUGACAAAUUUAAUGAUAGUAGCCCAACUAGAGUUUCAAUUUCUUUGGAGAUCUCUCUUGUGACAUUAUUAGCUGAAAUGUCUAUGCUGGUAGCAAGUCUUGGUGUGGUACUCUAUUCAUCUUCUCAUCCUUUCAACACCAAUAGUGCACUCAAAUGUAUUUAUGUCCCAUUUUGAUAAUUCAAAUAUAGAAAUAAUUUCGUUUUAACAAGACACGAACCGAGCAACAACUUUCACAAAAAAAAAAAUUUUAAAUUAGUACCUAACUGAAAGUACAUAAAUUUUAAUUCAUAAAAUAUUAUAUAUUACAAUAGUUAGAGAUUGUAUAUGUAUUUUCUAUUGAUAUUAGGAUUUAAAUUUUAUGCUAUGCUUUUAUUUAUAUUUAUAUUUUAACUUUAUAUUUUAUAUUAGUAUAAUAUAGUAAAAAUUAUUUUAAUCAUAUUUCAACAAAAAUUAUCAAAUUAGAUUAUCAUAUCAUAAUUUAAUAAUCGCAUGAGAGGUCAAAAGUAGUGCAUAUAAAAGAACAAAGAAAAGAAAACCUAACCAACAUCACUAAAUAUAAACACGUCCUUACAUUUUCAUAAUUUCCUAUUGUUUUAAUCACUACAAUAUAUGUAUAAAGGUUUAUAUUAUGCUUUAGUUAAAUUACACCCAAAUUCACUUUAAAAUAUGGUUUUUCAUAUUUUGAUCAUUUUAAAUUUUUUUAAUUUAAUCACUCUAAUUAAGAUAAUUAUUUGAAUUAAUCACGACAUUAAAAAUUCUAUCAAUUUAAUAAAAAAUUGUUAAUCUGACAUAUUAAUCAAUUGAAAGAUUCAUAGGUCAAUUUUUUUUUUGACAAAGCUUACAUACCUCUGUAUGAUUAAUCAAAACAUUUUUUUUUCCUUUUAUCUUCUCUCCAUAACUCAAAAUGGAGAAAUCAAAAUAGGGCAUCUCAAAGCUACCUAUGUUUCACCAUUCUUUCAACAAUAAAUCUAUGAUAACGGUUAGAAUUAAGUGACCCGAAUCCUUAUUAAAAUAAAGUACAGUGGUAAAAUAAAAUAAAAGUAAAAUCCAUAUAGAACUAUACUUUUAUUUUAUUUUAGAAUAAGAUUUUUCAACUUUAUUACACUUCAUCUAUUGAUAUUGAUUAGAAUUAGGUGUUUAAAUCUUUCUACACUCUUUUUAUUAGAAUAUGGUUUUACAAGCCUAUAAAUAGACACCUCUUCUUGUAAUUAUUCGAAUUCGACAUAGCGAAUUAUCUUCUCCCCUGCCUGUUGUUUUUUCUCAAAAAGGAUUCCACGUAAAAUCUGUUUGUUCUUUAUUUUUAUUUUUACUCUUUUCUUUAUGAUGCAUUGUCAUUAUCAACGUUAUAUUUAUCACAGCAACUAUCAAGAAUAACCCACCAUACAUCCACAAAUAAUUAAGGAGGAAUGAACAUAUAUAAAAACCCCAAUCAAAAUCUACACGAAUCUGACGGUCAUCAAGGAUUGUCCCACUAAUGUAAUUAACAACAUCCUCUGCAUCUUCCCUAGAAUGAUUCCUGAUGGAAAAUAAAAAACCCAAUAACCAAUUAAGAGCUUUAAAAUAAAUAUUAACAUGAUUUAAAGGAGGAAAACAAGAGAGAGAGAGUUACAAGACAAAGCAAAAGCCACAAGGUGUUUUAGAGGUCUUGUUAAGGCCCAUGUUUAUUUUCUUGAUUUCACCGGAUGUAGAGAAAAGCUCAUAAACUUGUUCUUUAGUAGUGUAAAAAGACACGUUUCCGAUGUAGACAGUUGUCGAAGUGAGGAGUGCUUGCUCGAAUCCCUCUUGCGAACCAUUAAACCUUCCGUCUCGGUACGCUAAAAGCUUAGCUGAGUCCUAUGAUUUAACAAACCCCCCAAAAAAGAGAGAAAAAUUAUCAUUUAACUGAUGUACAUUGAAAGCAAUUAGGAAGCAAUAAGAAAAGAAAAUAUCUUGAACAGAGAAUCCAUUACCUUCUUCAAAAGCUCCCAAAAAUUCGAAUUGCCUGCAUAUAACGAAUUAUAAAGGUUGAAUUUCUUGCCCUUGCCCUAUCCAUGCCAUAGAUCCAUUCUUAUUUAUAUAUGUUCACUCUUCUUUAAUUAUUUGUGGAUGUGUGGUGGGUUAUCCUUGGUAGUUGCCAUAGAUCCAUUGUUGAGAAACUGGUGAAGGGCAUGUAGCUUUGAGAUGCCCUGUUUUGGUUUCUCCUUUUUCAGCUUCGGAGAGAAGAGAAAGGGGAAAAAAUUGUUUAGGAUUAAUUAUAGAAAGGUCCCUCAGCUUUUGUUAAAAGUCAAAGGAAAGUAUCACGUGUUAUCAUUCAAUUGGCUAAUAUGCCACAUCAACAAUUCGUUAGUAGAUCAAUAGAAUUUAAUGGUUGUGGCUAAUUCAAACAAUUAUCUUGAUUAGAGUGAUUAAAUUGAGAAAAAAAUUAGAGUGACCAAAUAGGACAAACCUUAUUUUAAAAUGAUCUCGUGUGUAAUUUACCCUUAUACUUUUAUGGGCGUCCAAAAUUACUAAUUUUUAUUUUUGAGAGAAAAGAAAUUCAUUAAUGAAAAAAUCACAAAACAGAAGCAAACACAAAGAGGAGAUGGACUACUAAACUCGAGCCAACAGGCUCACCCCAUACACCCAAACUUAUUGUCCGCAAUCCUCAUUCGUAUCAACAUAAGACAUAAUUUUAAAAUUCUUCAAAAAAGAUGCAAAGGAACCCUUUCCGUGUGGUUUGCAUGUAACAAAACCGCUCACGCAAGUGAGUAGGCUACCUUGUUGGCACACGACGGGUCCAAAACAAGGAUAGAUGCUAAAACUAAUCUUUCAGCACCAAACAAUCAAGUUGCAGCACACCUAACUCAGAUGCAUCAAUGAUACAUGCUUUUUUCCCAUCAAACUACAUACCCAUAGUAGCCCAAAACACAUAUAGUUUACCAUAGACAUUGUCCAGCUUUCGAUAGUAUGCAUGCCUCCAAGACCUGAUGAAAAACAAGGGAGCCACUACACCCCAAAAUCCCAUUACAAAGCCAAGAACUAUGCUGACAUAAAGCCAAUUCACUUUACUUCCUUCACUGCUACUUCCAUUAUUUGCAACAUCAGUUGGAAUGCCUUUUGUAGUGCAGUUUUUAGUGAGAGGAGGUCCGCAAAGAUGAUUGCCCACGUAAGACAAGUUUGCAAAGCUUUGAAGUUGAGUACUUGUUGGGAUUUGUCCUGUCAAAUUGUUGUACGACACAUUGAAGUGAUUCAAGAAAUUCAAUUUGGAGAAACUUGGAGGGAUUUCACCAUUUAGUCGAUUCAUGGCCAAAUCAAGAGAUUCCAAAAACUUCAUGUUGCCAAUGUUGUCUGGUAUAUUUCCUGUUAGGUGAUUCCCUGAGAAAUUUAAAGACAAUAGUCCAACGAGACUACCAAUUUCUUUGGGGAUCUCUCCUGUGAAACUGUUAACAGAAAGGUCCAAGUUGGUAACAAGUCCUAGUGUGUGACCAUAUUCAUCCUCUCGCCCUUUCAACACCAAUAAGGCACUCAAAUAAAAUGGGUAAUUAAUGAAAUACAGCGUAGAAAGUUCAUUUUUGGUUUUGUUUGUUGUGGCCAUUGCACUUAAAUUAUUGAAGCAUUUUGGAAUAACUCCUGAAAUGUUGUUGUGGGCAAGGUCCAAAUUUUGAAGAAAUUGAAGAUCACAAAUUUUGUGAGGAAAAUGACCAUCAAAAUUAUUUGACCGAAGGCUUAGAACCACAAGGUUUGAGAGCUUAUCACCAAUCCAUGCUGGUACACUUCCAUUGAAAUGAUUUUCACUAAGAUCAAGCAUAAUCAAAUUUGUAGAAUUUUGCAUUGUGGAUGGCAAUUCUCCAAACAUUCUAUUGUUUCGAAGGUUUAACGUUGAAGGAUUUGUUUGUCCCAAAGUAAGUGGGAUUUUUCCUGUUAAAUUGUUAUUUCCUAAAUUUAAAUAAGCUAAAACAUCCCAAUGAUUCCAACAAUCUGGAAUUUCUCCAUUGAGUAAAUUUGUAUCAAUGUAAAGAGUUAUCAUCCCCGUUAAUGAUGGAUUACAAAUUAAUUGAUGAAGGGAUCCUGAAAAUGAAUUAUUUGACAAAAAUAAAAAUCUCAAACUUGAGAGUACUCUUGGCAAUGGACCUGUAAAGCUGUUUGAACUCAAGUCAACAAUGUCUCCCACAUUCAAAUACGAAAUCUCUCCUGUAAGCUGAUUUGAGGAAAGAUUUAAAUAUUCAAAUAGAGUGGGAAGGUUCAAAAACCAAGUGGGCAUGACAUCUGAAAUUCCUACAUGGGAGAUAUCCAAAGACGAUAAAUUCUUUUGGAAUUUUAACCAGUGGGGAAACUUUGGGCCAAGGUUCCAGUGGCCCAAUUCAAUAAUUCGACAUUGAAAUGGGGGAAUCUAGCUUGAGUUUGGUUCAAAUUUAAGCCUAUUGUGUGAUGCUUUCAAAGUUGUCAAUCUGGUGAGAUGACAGAAAUGGGGUUCUAAUACAACUCCCUCCAAUAGAUUAUACCCAAAAUCCAGAGUUUCCAAACUUUCCAGUUGUCCAAAACAUAGAGGAAAAGUACCAUUUAAUUGAUUUUCUGAUACAUCGAAGAACUUCAAAGAUGAUAACUCCCCUAUAGACAAUGGAAUUUGACCAUUUAAUUGAUUUUUUGAAACAUCAAAGAAUUUCAAAGACCAUAACUCCCCUAUGGAUGAUGGAAUGGGACCAGAAAUUUUGUUUUGAGCAAGGGACAAGUAAGAUAGAUUUUUAAAUUGUCCAAGUUGAUCAGUUAAAUGGCCAGAAAGUUGGUUAUCUGCCAUAUCCAAUGACUCUAAGGAACCCGAACGACAUCUAGACAAACUCUGUAGGAUUUCUGAUAUUCCACCUUCAAUUUUAUUGUAUGACAAAUCCAUCUCCUUCAAUUUGCACAGAUAUUCCAGAGAGGUUGGUAAUCUUCCUUCCAACAUAUCAUUAUGAGAAAGAUCAAGAUGAGUAACAGAGCUGAAGUUUCCAAUGGCACUCGAGAUUGUUCCUUGUAACUGGUUAUCACCAAGACUAAGGAACUGAAGAUGGUAUAAACUGUACAUGGAGUUGGGUAUGGAUGAAUUGAGUGAGUUCGAACGAAGAUCAAGAACUUUAAGAAACGAGAUGUUCCCAAAGUAAUCUGGAAUUGGGCCUUCCAAAGAAUUCUCACUAAUAUCAAUGGACAUAAGACCAUGAAGACUAAAUAUCGACUUAGGUACUGAAGAAAAGCGGUUCAAAGAAAGAUCAAGAAUAACCAGUGAUUUUGUAGAAUUAACACUAAUCGGAGAUGGAUCAUCUUCCAAACCACAAUUUGACAAGUGCAACUCUAACAAAGAAGGAUGUUUGAAUGUUACCUGUAGCCAAUCAGUUGCUUUAGAAAGAUCCGCACCACUCAAAUCAAGGUACUGCAAGGAAGAAAGUCCAGAAACCCAUUGAAGACUUUUAACUUUGAUAUCCCACCGGUACAUAGUAUCACCACGAAGAUCAAGAUACUGCAACUUUGAAAGAUUCCCCAGGUUUUGAGGAAUUGCUCCCUGGAAUCCUGCUUGAGAGAGGUUAAGAUGUGUUAAACUCCCCAGCACACCCAAAAAUUUCGGGAUAUGUAUGUUGCUAAAAUUGUUAUUGCUCAAGUCCAGGGAACUUAGAUGCUUCAACUCCAGUAGCGAAGGAUUGAUAUUCCCUCCUAGCAUGGAAUUGUAGUAAGCUUCCCAUUCAACAUAUGGUGCGAAGAAAUCAGGCUCUGAAAGAGGAGAAGUCAAGUGCAGUUGGUUGACGUGGCCUGUUGAGUUUUGGCAGAUGACACCAAUCCAUUCACAGCAAUCCCCACCUUCAACCCUGAAGAUAGCCUGUUUGAAGGAUCAAUAAGAUCAAUCUUGAAUUUCAAGAGAGCUUCUCUCUCACUUUCAAUGCAAAGAACGUUGGAAUUGGCAUCACAAAUGCUAAAACAGAUAGCAGCAAUGAGAAGAAGAAAUUGGAAUAAGGAAAUUGGAAGAGGAGUUGUCAUGGUUGCAAUUGCAUGCUACCAACCAUUGCUCACAACUCCAAACUAAUAGAGUAAGCUUAGCUAAAACACAAAAAUAUUGUGCACAUACAUCAAGCGCAAUGAAGUUUCUUCCAAAACCCCAAAUUUCCACAAAAUGCAUUUAAUUUCCACAAAAUUUACUAUCAAGGGAAAAUUUCUAAUUAAUUGCAUUUAUUUUUCAACAAAAUGUAAUAUGAACUUCUAUUACUAAAAUAAAGAAAUGUUAUAAAACCCAGUCAAACAAAAUGGAUGCCGUGGUCCCUUAAUCAUUUCUUCAUGCAUAAAACAAUAUUAAAUAAAUUAUAAUAAAAAAAUCUAAAAUUAUAAUAAUUAACUAAACUAUAUCACAUCUAAUCUCUUAAUGGACCUACAAAACGAGGAGGAUUAGUCAUUGGGUUCGCUCAAAUAGAUAUCGCAUAUAAGAAUUUUUUAUCUAUUUUUAUUUUUUAAAUUUAAAGAAUUUACAUUUUUUAAAUUUUUUAAAUUUCUAAAUUUUUAUAUAUUUUUUGAAUUUUUAAAUAUUUUAGAUUUUUUAAUUUUAAAAUGUGACAUAUAAGACAAAAUAAUAUCGUGUAUACAUUCAAUACUUGUGAACUAUCACACGAGGUGUCAUUUCAGUGCUUGGCAUCCAACAUUAGCUACUUAACGGCUCCAAUUUUGUAAAGGGUAAACUACACCCAAGAUCACUAAACUAUUAGUAUGUUUAUGUUUUGAUCACGCAAUUUUAAAAUAUUUCAAAAUAAUCACUAAACUAUUUAAAAGUUUUCAUUUAAAGCCAAAAAAAAAAUCAAUUCACCAUUCAAAUAUAACCCUUAGUUUCUAUUAAAAUGAAUGAAAUUACAUAUCCAUACUAUUAUAGUAGCAAUUAGAGCUAAUCCUGGGUCGGGUCUCAAUAAAAUUUUAGGUUCGUUUUUUGGCUCGUUUUUUGGCCCGAGCUCGACUCAGCCCAAAAAAUGGGCCUAAAAUUUGUUCAAUCACGUCCCGAAUUAUAGAAGCCAAGAUCAAGCCCGGCCUGGCCCAUAUUAAUUUUUUUAGAUGAUUUAUUGUAUACAAUAAAUUUAAAAAAUAUAUAAUAUAUCAAAUACACUUCAAAACAUUAAAACAACAAACAAAUUAAAAAUACAUUAAAAAUUCUGUAACGCCCCAAAUUUUGAACAUAUGUUUGAUAAAUUCUAUCAAUAAAUAAGUCUCUGUAUCUGUAGUUAAGUGUUCUGUUUAUGUGUUAGAGAUCCGGGUUUGAGUAUUUCUUCUUAAAUUUUUACGGUCUAUUUUGGUUCAACCCCUAUUCUUAAACUCCCGACUUAAGUUUAUUUUUACGUUAAUCUGUAUCAAUAAUGAGCCUGCUAGUUCAAUGGUUGAUAAAUGCCAAAAGUAACAUGUUUUAGCCUCAUUCUUAAUGCAUUUUUGGAUGAUUAUUCGAUUUAAAAAUGUGAAUUUUAUGCUCCUAAUCCUUUAAAUUCAUGUUUAUAUACUUAAGAGAGCAUUUGGGAGCAAAAUGAGCAAAACUCGAAAAAUCGGAGCAAGUUUUAGGAGCCACAUGGCCAUGUCUCAGACCAUGUGGAAAUCACGAAUUACACUUCAAAAAGUAAAAAAUAUAUAAUUUUUAGGCUUUUUGGGCAUUCUAAAACCUAUAUAUGACAAAGAUAAGAAGAUGAGAGAAAACUGUCAUUAAAUGGUUUUUGGUGUUGGUUUUUUUUUCCUGAAAAUUGUUUAGUUUGUUGGGUCAUUGGGCCUUUAAUUAGACUUCAAACUUUUCAUUAUUGACAUGACAUUAAUUUAUAUUUAUGUCACAUUUACAAAUAAUUUUAAAACUAUAAAAAAAUAUUGAAUAAAUUAUAAACUUGACAAGGAAGUUGGACAAAGUCUAUGGAGUAACUUCAAGUCCCAUGAUAUGACCUGCCAAUUAAGAGUUUUUAGGUCUUUAAAAUGAAAGGAAAGGAAAAUGAAAAUUUUAGGAAAACAUAAAAUUUGAUUAAGAUUUUUAUUUUUACAUUUAUAUUUUGGUUAAAUCAAAUCAAAUUUUAAUGUAUAAUUGAUUAAAAUUAUGCAAAUUAUUCAACAAGGUCAUGACCGAAGUCGGUGGGGAUCUAAAUAAACAUAUCAAAGAACUACCUAUAUCAGCACAUUUAGUCAUGUGAUUUGCAACACCAAGAGUUCUUGAGAUAUGUAGGAUACGAAUCUCCCAUUUUCGACGCAAUAUUUGAUGUAGCAGCCACAGUUCCAGUAAAUUAUUACUAGCUCCUCCAGCAGACAAAAGUAAUUCAACCAACAAAGCAUUAUCACACUCAACUUCAACUUUCCGAAAUCCUUUAUCCCAAGCUAAGAAUAAUACUUCCAACAUUGCUCUUGUUUCAACUUUAAAAACUGACUCAUAUUUAAUUUUUUUUAAAUGUUUAUAUUGUGAAUUGUGGGAAAUAAUUUUAUAUUUGUGUCCUCAGAUUACAUUUAAUUUUCAUAUAUGAUUAUGAAGGAUAUUGAAGUUUUAGUUACAUUCUAAUACGAAUUUCAAUCAUCCAAUUGAAUUUGUCACUUUCUUUCUCUACCUAACGUGGAAUUUAGCAAGCUUUAAAAUUCCUCAAGUAGCGUUGACGAAGUCAAGUCAACAAAGUCUAUGGAGUAAGUCUCACUCCCUCGGCACGCUCUGUUUACUCGCUGAUAUUUUCUUCAUUAUAUAAAGUAAGCAAUCAAGAAAAACCAUCACUAAUAUCUUUUCAAUUUAAUAGCUUUCAUACCAUUUUCAUUAAUAAAUAUUAUCCUUUAGUCCGUUGAUUGUGCUUCACUUAAUUUUUCAAUGAAUAUAAUAGUUUUUGGCUUAUGAUUGAUGGGGUUUUUUAAAGGUAAUUUUCUGUCAUUGUGCAAUGCAUGUGGGAUCAGAUAUAGGAAGGAAAAGGAAAAAGAAAAAGAAUGGCAAUGUUGGGCAUGAACAAAGGAUCAAAGAAGAUGGAGAGAUCAAAUUCAUCACAAAGCUACAAUCAACUCUAAAAAUAAAUUAUUAUUAAAUAUGUUAUUGAGGUUUAUUAUUAAGUAAAAGAAGCGAUGAUUAAAGUCAGGGCGAAGUCAGAACAAUUUUUUAGAGGGGACUGAAUGAAAUUUUAAUUUUUUUAUAGUCUAUAUCGUUAUAAUUUUUAAAGGAUUAAAUCGAAUUUUUAUAAUUUUAGGAGAGGCCAAAGUGUAAUUUUACCUUUACUAAUUUAAAAUUUUAAAAAAAACUUUAAGGGCUUAAAUAACAAUUUUAUAUUUUAGAGGGGGCCGGGAGCCUUCCCAGCCCCCUAGAUUCACCACUGAUUAAAAUUCUUAUCAGAUAUUUAUUUAGUACGGAUUCGAACCAUAUUACCCCUAUCCUUUACCUUUAAUAUUAUAAUAAUAAUAAAAACCCUAUUGCAGCGUCAAAUUUUCUUCCAUGUCUUAAAGAAUUAGUUAAUCAAAUCUUACUCAUAUUCGUAUAGAUUUUGUUAAUCAAACUUAAUUAUUGUUUUAAGUGGUUAAAUAUAAACACAUUAUAAUUGUCGAAACUAUAAAAAUGCUAACAGGUUACGAUAUAUUUUAAUUUUUUUUUAUGUUUAUUAAAUGCACCUUAUUGCACUCUUUAACCCAACAACAUUUUCAUUAUUGACAUACAAUUAAACACAAUCACACAUCAUGAAAGCUCUAAGUUCAAAAAAUUGAACAAGCUUGAAUGCUAUUUAUUUUUGCAAAAGGGAAAACAUGAGUACUAAAUCUAAACUCGAAGUCAAGAUCGAUUGAUUCAUGUAAUCCCUUCUAAAAUAUAGCAUUUAAUAGAUUUGAGUUCAAAACCCUAUAUAUUAAUUAAUUACAUACACUAACUUUAUUUAUACAUAUUUUGUUUUGGGUAAACUACACCCAUGGUCACUUUUGUUUAUCUUAGGUUACGUUUUAGUCAUUUACGUUAUCAUGUUGUAACAUUUUAGCCACUGAGCCAUUAAUCGUCGUUAAUGGUGUAACGGUAAGCUGACGUGGCACGUUAAAUCAUCAUUUCAAACAAAAUUUUAGGUUAAAUUAUACAAUUGAUCCCCAUAUUUUUUCAGUUUUAAGUAAUUUAAUUUUUUUAUUUUAUGUUCUUUAAACUUUUCUCUUUUGUUUCUCCCUCUGUUUUCAUAUCUUUCCUAUCUCUUUUAACAUAUUAGGAAGUCAAAUUGGCAGUGAAAAAAGAAGUAGGAAGUCGACUAUCAUCAUUUGCCUAUAACCAAAACCCUAUAACCAAAACCAUGCUUCUUUCUUCACUACCAAUUCGACUUCCUGGUAUGUUAAAAGAAAUAAAUAAGGUAGGAAAACAGAGGGAGAAGCAGAAGAGAAUGAAAAAUAAAGAAAAUAAAGAAUGAAAGUUAAAAGAACAUAAAAGAAUUAAAUUGCUCAAAACGAAAAAUUAUGGGGACCAAUUGUAUAAUUAAACCUAAAGUUUUUGUUUGAAUGAUAAUUUAACAUGCCACGUCAGCUUACCAUUACACCAUUAACGACAAUUAACGGCUCAGUGACUAAAAUGUUACAACACAAUAACGUAAGUGACUAAAACGUAACAUUUCAAACAUAAGUGACUGAAAUGUAACCUAAGGUAAACAAAAGUGACCAUGGGUGUAGUUUACCCUUUUGUUUUUCAUCAAACUAUAUACCCAUAAUAGACCAAAACACAUACAGCUGUCGACCAACAUGAUCCAACUUUCGAUAGUAUGCAUGCCUCCAAGACCUGCUGAAAAACAAGGGAGCCACUACACCCCAAAAUCCCAUUACAAAGCCAAUAACUAUGCUGACAUAAAGCCAAUUCACUUUACUUCCUUCACUGUUAAUUCCAUUAUUUGCUGCAUCAGUUGAAAUACCUUUUGAGGUGCAAUUUUUAGUGAGAGGAGGUCCGCAAAGAUGAUUUCCCACGUAAGACAAGCUUUCAAAGCUUUGAAGCUGAGUGCUUGUUGGGAUUUGUCCUAUCAAGUUGUUGUAGGACACAUUGAAGUGAUUCAAGAAAUUCAAUUUGGAAAAAUUUGGAGGGAUUUCACCAUUCAAUUGAUUCCUCGACAAAUCAAGAGAUUCCACCAACUGCAUGUUGCCAAUUUCGUCCGGUAUAUUUCCUAUUAGGAGAUUCCCUGAUAGAUUUAAUGACCGUAGCGCAACGAGACUUCCAAAUUCUUUUGGGAUCUCUCCAAUUAGUCUAUUAGUUGAAAGGCAGAUGCUCGUAACAAGCCCUAGUGUGGCACCGUAUUCAUCCUCUCGUCCUUUCAGCACCAAUAAUGCACUCAAAAAAAGGAAAUUAGUACUGAUACUCGACCACUGAAACAUAUAGCACUGCUGGUUGCUCUUGUUAGCCAUUGCACUAAAAUUACUAAAACAUUUUGGAAUAGCUCCUGAAAUGCCGUUAUGGCCAAGGUCCAAGAUCCGAAGAGAUUGAAGUUGACAAAUUUUUUGAGGAAUGUGGCCAUCAAAGUUAUUGGAUCGAAGGCUUAGAAUCUCAAGUUUCGAGAGUUUGACCCCAAUCCAUGCUGGUACACUUCCAUUGAAAUGAUUGUCACUAAGAUCAAGCAUAAUCAACCUCGUAGAAUGUUGUAACGUAGAUGGUAUUUCUCCAGACAUGCCAUUGCGACGAAGGUUUAGCACUGAAAGAUUUAAAUGUCCCAAAGAAGGUGGGAUUUUUCCGGUCAAAGUGUUGUUUUCCAAAUUCAAGUAACCCAAACCUCGCCAAUGAUCCCAGCAAUCUGGGAUUUCUCCGGAGAGAAGGUUUGUUUCAAAGGCAAGAAUUCUCAUUGGUCCCUUUCUUAAUGAAUUACAAACGAAUUCAAAAAGCGGGCCUGAAAAUGAAUUAGUUGACAAAAUUAAAAUUUGUAAAGUUGGGAAUACUCUUGGCAAUGGGCCUGUGAAUUGGUUUGAACUCAAGUCAACAAUUUCUGUCACGUUCAAAUAUGAAAUCCCUCCAGUAAGUUGAUUACAGGAAAGAUUUACAUAUUCAAAUUGAGUAGACGAGUUCAAAAGCCAAGUGGGCAAGAUAUCCGAAAUUCCUGCAUCCGAGAUAUCUAAAACAGAUAAAUUCUUUUGGAACUUUAACCAUCGAGGAAACUUGGGGCCAAGAUUCCAUUGCCCCAAUUUGAUAAUUCGACAUUGAAACGGGGGAAUCCAGCUUGAGUUUGGGUCAAAUCUCAGCUUGUUCUGUGAUGCCGCUAGAGUUGUCAAUCUCGUGAGAUUAGAAAAAUGGGAUUCUGAUACAACUCCUUCCAAUUGGUUACACCCCAAAUCCAGAUACUGCAACUUUGAAAGAUUCCCCAGGUUAUGAGGAAUUGUGCCCCGGAAUCGUGCUUGAGAGAGAUUAAGAUAUGUUAAACUCUCCAGCAAACCGAAAAACUUCGGAAUCUGUAUGCCGCUAAAAUUGUUAUUGCUCAAGUCCAGGGAACUGAGAUGCUUCAACUCCAGGAGUGAAGGAUUUAUUUUGCCUCCUAGCGGGGAAUUGUUC